CAGCACGAUUCGCCCGCCCCGCGCCGCCGCCGCCGCCGCCGAGGAGUCCAUCGCGCCUCCGCCGCCGCCACUGCCGCCGCCGGUAUGGGGGGCCAUCACGUGGGUAGCGAGGGUUAGGGUUUUAUAGAUCGGAGGAGGAAGAGGAGCAAGGGGAAAAACCAAAACGGAGGUAGCUCAGAUUGGGAAGGGCCAAAAAAACAAACAAGUUGAGGGGCUUUCUUCAAAAUUGCGAAUAUUGAAGGGUCUCCGCGCAUUGUUACCGAGCAGAUAAAAUAGGAGUGACGGGACCCACUCUUUGGACGGAUCGGGGAAAUGGCUCGGCCCUAUCCGGUUCGUGAUUAUUACGUGAACCAAGUCUAUGCACCGGCCUACUUAUUCAGGGCAAGGGAUAGCUAUAUUCAGCAUAAGGAUGCAAAGGAGACGGAUCCGGCAGCGAGUUUGCAGAUUCUGGGGGCGAGAGGGACCCCCUGACUCCCACCCUACUUUCUUAGCAGAUGGAUUCAGGGUGAGUUAGAUUUUAUCCUAUUUUUGGUUCUCACUUAUCGCUCUAUUCGGAACGGGUCGGAAUGGAACCAAGUUUUUAGCUGCUUAUUGGGGCAGAUCAUAUUUAAAAAAAAAAAAGUCCCCCUUCUCCCGUUUCCUGCUCCAUUUCUUAGAGGAUUGGGAUGGAUUUGACUUUUUUUUUUUUUAUUUCCUUCUUAUUUUGGACUUUUACUUAUAGCUUUAUUCGGAAUAGACAGGAUCUCAUCAACACUGAUACAUUUGCAUCCCUAAUGAACCAUUUUUUUCCAAGUGUGGAUAAUGGUCCAAUAAUGAUGCCCUUAACAGCUGGUUGCCAAAUUAAAUGGAUUAAUUGAUGUGGAUUUGUGCUACCAAAAGUUGGUGACAAAUUUCUUUUAUGGACCCACCCAUCAAAAGAGAAAUUUGAAGUUGAUCACUCCUUACAACCUGAUCCUUUUGUCGGAGUAGCCAUGAAUAUAACAAAACUAUAUAUAUAUAUAUAUAUAGAGAGAGAGAGAGAGAGUUGAGCUCGAAUAUUAUCGGUA